rnacentral:rRNA from 1 species
AUAGCGUAUAUUAAAGUUGUUGCAGUUAAAAAGCUCGUAGUUGAACCUUGGGUCUGGCUGGCCGGUCCGCCUCACCGCGUGCACUGGUCCGGCCGGAUCUUUCCUUCUGGCUAGCUGCAUGCCCUUCACUGGGUGUGUCGGGGAACCAGGACUUUUACUUUGAAAAAAUUAGAGUGUUCAAAGCAGGCAUUUGCUCGAAUACAUUAGCAUGGAAUAAUAGAAUAGGACGUGCGGUUCUAUUUUGUUGGUUUCUAGGACCGCCGUAAUGAUUAAUAGGGAUAGUCGGGGGCAUCAGUAUUCAAUUGUCAGAGGUGAAAUUCUUGGAUUUAUUGAAGACUAACUACUG